rnacentral:rRNA from 1 species
CAGUAGCCGCGGUAAUACCAGCAGCCCAAGUGGUGGUCGCGAUUAUUGGGCCUAAAGCGCUCGUAGCCGGGCCGGUAAGUCCCUUGUGAAAUCGGACGGCCUAGCCGUUCGGCGUGCAAGGGAUACUGUCGGUCUUGAGGCCGGGAGACGUCCGAGGUACUCCGGGGGUAGCGGUGAAAUGUUCUAAUCCUCGGGGGACCACCGGUGGCGAAGGCGUUCGGCGAGAACGGGCCUGACGGUGAGGGGCGAAGGCUAGGGGAGCGAACAGGAUUAGAUACCCCAGUAGUCCCUGUCUCUUAUA